rnacentral:misc_RNA from 1 species
GAUUUAAGGAUAUUCUGAAAUAAUUAUUUUGAGAGAAGCACACAGAGGAAGAAGGAUUUUGUGUCGGGUGAUUUUACGUUAUGUCACCGUUGUUUAAGAAAAUGCUAUUUUUUCUGUAACUCCUUUCUUUGACCUGGUCUGUGCUUCCGAUGGAAAUGUCUACCACCAGCAAUCUUCGAUGAAAGCCUCUCAAACUCCCAGUCAAAAACCCUAAUUUUCACAUCAAUCGGAACCCUCUUUCUUUCCAGCACUUAAUUAGGCAAUUUUUAUAUAUUUUACAACAUGCAUUCUUUCUAAAUCUCAAACUCCGUUCAUGAUUCCCCGAAUUCGAAUUCCAAAUUUAUGAAAUACUAGUUCAUUUUGAUGCUUCUCAUUCUAGAACUCUAUACUCCAGCGAUACAGAUCCUAAUUCCUGUUUUCCGUGCUUCCAAUUAGUGGAAUUUUGGGAUUCAAUGAAUAACCAAGACCAGGAAUCCCAUUCAUAUAAUCUCAUAACCAAUUCUUCGUGGCUCGAAAUCAGAUUGUUCUACGUCAGAAUCACGCCGUGCGUGAUCGACAGCGUCCCGGACCAUCUGACUCUUCGCCAUCUUCGCCGCGAAAUCAGCACGCCCCUCGAAAUCAACGGCUUCAGAGUUCCAUGCGCUGAUUCUGCCUCCGUGACCCUCCGUCGCGACCGUCUCAAUAAGGAGUCUUCUGAGGUCACCUACGUCAGUACAGACAGUGUGCGUGUCACUGGUGCCGUGGAAUUCGAGGUGUUGGAGAAGAACGAUUUAUUUUUAUGUGGGUCCCUGGAGAG